GAUGAACGCUAGCGGGAGGCUUAACACAUGCAAGUCGAGGGGCAGCAUAGGGUAGCAAUACUCUGAUGGCGACCGGCAAACGGGUGAGUAACGCGUACCUGCAACCUACCCUGUACAGGGGGAUAACCCGGAGAAAUUCGGACUAAUAUCCCGUAAUAAUAUCCGGAGGCAUCUUUGGAUAUUUAAAGUUCCGACGGUACGGGAUGGGCAUGCGUAACAUUAGCUGGUUGGUAAGGUAACGGCUUACCAAGGCUAUGAUGUUUAGGGGUCCUGAGAGGGUGGUCCCCCACACUGGUACUGAGACACGGACCAGACUCCUACGGGGAGGCAGCAGUGAGGAAUAUUGGUCAAUGGGCGCAAGCCUGAACCCAGCCAUCCCGCGUGCAGGAAGACGGCCCUAUGGGUUGUAAACUGCUUUUCCAGGGAGAAGAAACGUUACGCACGUGUUGCGUGACUGACGGUACCCUGGGAAUAAGCAUCGGCUAACUCCGUG
rnacentral:rRNA from 1 species